GUCUGCCAUCUGCGAGCCGGCUUGGGCCGGCGCCUGCGUCUAGCCUGUGCCACGGCUGGUGCUGUCAUAACGCAGAGUGGACAGAAUCCGGCGCCCCGACUGGGACUAGAACCCGGUGUGCCGGCGCUAACCUGUUAAGCCACUGCACUGGUGGCCAACAUUGACUUCACAUCUGCCACGUGCUCAGAUCAAGGAGUCCUCUCAACAACCUUACAAGGCAGAGAGACAGACAGAGAGAGAUCUUCCAUCUGAUAGUGUUGAUUCAUUCUCCAAAUGCCUGAAAUAGUUGGGACUGGAUCAGGAUAAAGCCAGGAACCUGGAACUCCACUUGAGUCUCUCACAUGGAUAGCAGGGACUCAAGUACUUGCACCUCAUCUGCUGCCUCCCUGGUUGCACAUUAUCAGGAAGCUGGAAUUGCAAGUGGAGUGUGGACUGAGGCUCACACACUCUGAUACUGAAUAUGGGCAUCCCAUGUAGCAACUUCACUGCUGUGCCAAAUGCCCGUCCCAAG